rnacentral:lncRNA from 1 species
UUAGAAAGCCCAACCCCAGUCUCAGCCCUACUCGUGCACUCUAGCACUAUAGUUGUGGCAGGGAUUUUCCUACUCAUCCACUUCCACCCCUUAAUAGAAAAUAAUACGCUAAUUCAAAGCCUCACGCUAUGCUUAGGGGCUAUCACUACCCUACUCACAGCAAUCUGUGCUCUAACACAAAAUGGUAUUUAAAAAAUCGUAGCCUUCUCCACCUCAAGUCAACUAGGCCCAAUAAUAAUUACAAUCAACAUUAAUCAACCACACCUGGCAUUUCCACAGGUCUGUACUCACACUUUCUUUAAAGCCAUACUAUUUAUAUGCUCAGGGUCUAUUAUCCCUAAUCUUAACAACGAGCAAGAUAUCUGGAAAAUGGGAGGAUUAUUUAAAAUUUUACCCCUUACUUCAGCUUCCCUUAUUAUUGGCAGCCUAGCACUCACAGGCAUACCUUUCCUUGCAGGUUUCUACUCUGAAGACCUCAUCAUCGAAACAGCAAACGCGUCGUAUACCAACGCCUGAGACCUAUCUAUUACUCUCAUCGCCACUUUCCUAACAAGCACCUAUAGCGCUCAAAUUAUUUUUCUCACCUUAACAGGACAAACCUGCUCCCAACCACAAUUAAUAUUAACGAAAAUAUUCCCGCCCUAAUAAACCCAAUUAAAAGCCUCACAAUUGGCAGCCUAUUCGGAGGAUUUCUCAUCACCAAUAGUAUGUUCCCCACCUCACUUCCCCAAACAACAAUGCCACCUUACCUAAAACUUACAGCCCUAGGUGUAACUAUUCUAGGAUUCUUAGUGGCUCUAGAGCUUAGCCUUAUAACCAACAAACUCAAAGUAAAAUCCCCACUCCACACGUUUAAUUUCUCCAACAUGCUAGGAUUCUAUCCCAUCACAGUUCACCGCACAACCCCUCACCUAAAUCUAUCUGUAAGCCAAAAUCUGGCUUCACUGCUACUAGAUUUAAUUUGACUAGAAAAAUCUAUGCCUAAAACAAUUUCACAAACCCAAAUCACCGCCUCCAUUACUACUACCACUCAAAAAGUCAUAAUUAAAUUUUAUUUCCUUUCUUUAUUCUAUUCCUCC